GACGAACGCUGGCGGCGUGCUUAACACAUGCAAGUCGAACGGAAAGGCCCUGCUUUUGUGGGGUGCUCGAGUGGCGAACGGGUGAGUAACACGUGAGUAACCUGCCCUUGACUUUGGGAUAACUUCAGGAAACUGGGGCUAAUACCGGAUAGGAGCUCCUGCUGCAUGAUGGGGGUUGGAAAGUUUCGGCGGUUGGGGAUGGACUCGCGGCUUAUCAGCUUGUUGGUGGGGUAGUGGCUUACCAAGGCUUUGACGGGUAGCCGGCCUGAGAGGGUGACCGGCCACAUUGGGACUGAGAUACGGCCCAGACUCCUACGGGAGGCAGAAGUGGGGAAUAUUGCACAAUGGGCGGAAGCCUGAUGCAGCAACGCCGCGUGCGGGAUGACGGCCUUCGGGUUGUAAACCGCUUUCGCCUGUGACGAAGCGUGAGUGACGGUAAUGGGUAAAGAAGCACCGGCUAACUACGUG
rnacentral:rRNA from 1 species